CAUUCUCAUGUUUAGAGUAAUUGAAAUGUCACCAGGGAAGGCAGCAGCAACAAGGAUCCUCCCGCCCUACAUAAGGUAAGUGGGGGGGAUAUUUAUUAACUAAUGUGCCCCCACCUCCACAAAUCACCCAAACAUACAGCACCCUCACACACAGCACACAAACAGCACCCUCACACACAGCACACGACACCCACAUACAGCACUCUAACAGGACCCUAACAAACAAACACACAGCACACUACCAGUACCCUCACAAACAGCACACGACACUCGCACACUUACAGGACCCUAACAAACACACAGCACACUACCAGUACCCUCACACACAGUACACUAACAGUACCCUCACAAACAGCACACGACACCCACACACAACACACUAACAGUACCCUCACAAAAACAGCACCCUCACAAACAGCACACUAACAGUACCAUCACAAACAGCACACAACACCCACAUACAGCACUCUAACAGGACCCUAACAAACAAACACACAGCACACUAACAGCACCCUCAUAAACAGCACACGACACCCACACACAGCACACUAACAGUACCCUCACAAACAGCACACGACACCCGCACAUUAACAGGACCCUAACAAACACACAACACACUACCAGCACCCUCACACACAGUACACUAACAGCACCCUCACACACAACACACUAACAGCACCAGCACACUAACAGGACCCUAACAAACACACAGCACACUAACAGUACUCUCACAAACACACCCUCACCCACAUAGCACACUACCAGCACCCUCACACACACAGCAGUGUGUGUAUGUAUAUAUAAUCUAUUACACCUUAUCACACAGAUCACAACUCCCAUCACUAAUCUAUUACACCUUAUCACACAGA